CGGGACGUAGCGCAGCCCGGUAGCGCACCUGAAUGGGGUUCAGGGGGUCGCGGGUUCGAAUCCCGCCGUCCCGACUA
rnacentral:tRNA from 1 species